rnacentral:rRNA from 1 species
AAAGCAUCUAAGUGUGAAGCCCACCUCAAGAUGAGAUUUCCCAUGAUUUUAUAUCAGUAAGAGCCCUGAGAGAUGAUCAGGUUGAUAGGUUAGAAGUGGAAGUGUGGUGACACAUGUAGCGGACUAAUACUAAUAGCUCGAGGACUUAUCCAA